ACGGAAGAGACUGUGCUGGUCAUUAUUGUGAUGCCCAUUGCUAAAGCAAUUGCUGGUGUUGGGGAUGAAACCAUUGAGGAUGCAAUUCCCAAGAAAUGCAACCAGGCCAAACAGCGGAAAAACAGCAAGACGACAAUGAUGGUCCGUGAGAUCUUAUUGGUG